ACGGAGGGUGCAAGCGUUAUCCGGAUUCACUGGGUUUAAAGGGUGUGUAGGCGGGCUGUUAAGUCAGUGGUGAAAUCUCCGGGCUCAACCCGGAAACUGCCAUUGAUACUGCGGGUCUUGAGUCCGAUAGAGGUGGGUGGAAUUCCUAGUGUAGAGGUGAAAUUCGUAGAUAUUAGGAAGAACACCGGUGGCGAAGGCGGCCCACUGGAUCGGUACUGACGCUGAGGUGCGAAAGCGUGGGGAGCAAACAGGA
rnacentral:rRNA from 1 species